AAGUCGUAACAAGGUUUCCGUAGGUGAACCUGCGGAAGGAUCAUUAUCGAGAGGGGUCCCCGGACUCCGGGGGCUUCGGCCCCCUACUCUUCACCCUAUGUCUACACACCUUUGUUGCUUUGGCGGGCCUCGGGUUCGCCCCGUACCGGCCGUGGGCUUCCAUACCCCGGCCGUCCGUGCCCGUCAGAGGCCCAUGAACCCUCGUUUAUCAGUGUCGUCCGAGCCCAACCAUAAUAGUAAAAACUUUCAACAACGGAUCUCUUGGUUCUG
rnacentral:misc_RNA from 1 species